GGAAAUUUGAGAGGAUCUGCUCCUAGUACGAGAGGACCAGAGUGGACGAACCUCUGGUGUACCGGUUGUGACGCCAGUCGCAUCGCCGGGUAGCUAUGUUCGGAAGGGAUAACCGCUGAAAGCAUCUAAGCGGGAAGCCUACCUCAAGAUAAGAUUUCCCUAGGACUUUAUGUCCUCUAAAGAGCCGUUCGAGACUAGGACGUUGAUAGGUUGGAUGUGGAAGCAUAGUGAUAUGUGAAGCUGACCAAUACUAAUUGCUCGUGAGGCUUGACUAU
rnacentral:rRNA from 1 species